GUACAACAAAUAUUAUUGUGUUGUCUGUAGUUUCAAAUCCAUGGAUCUAGCUACGGAUGCAGUCCAAAUUGAUGAGGACCAAGCAAACAACUUACUCAACAGUGUGUGAGUUGCAAUGUCUUCUUAUCUAGGGGUGGGCAAUAUAAACGAUAUAAGGUAGAAAUGAUAUAAAAUUGGGUAAUGAUAGUUUUUGGCUAUAUCGCAAUACGGCGAUAUUGUGAUAACACAUGACGUCACUAAGAUGUGCACCCUGCUGACAAUGGGACAACAGAAUGGCGGUGACUGCAAGCAUGGAGUGGGCGGAGGAGGAGGCCUAUAUGCCUCAAGUGGCAUAUAUUUGCCACAUGAGGAUAUCUAAAAGCAUGUCAAUUUGACAUUUAUAAACAGAUGAAAAAAUAUAUCGCAAUAUAUAUCGUUACUGCACAUGCUUCAGAUUAUAUCGCAAUAUAGAUUGAGGCCAUAUUGCCCAGCCCUAUUCUUAUCUACACUCUUUUUUUAAACUCCAAAGUCUUAAAACAAUAUAUUAAUUCUACUUUUAUUUAUUGUUUUCAUAACAGAAUAGAACUGUUAUGAAAACUUUGUCAGGCUGACGAAGUUUGCAGCCGCAAACAAAACGUUGCAGGUAAAUAAAACCCUUCUAUGUUUUAAAAAGAACUAAAAGAUGGAAUUGUUGUUUUAUCCUUGUUCACAGGCUGGGAUCCUAAAGGGAAUUUCCAUCCUACUUGUGUGGCUGAAGGACAUCGUCAACCAAUUUUGGUACAUUUGCCAGAAAGCACAACAUCGUGAUAUGUUUAAUGACAUGUGGGUGGGUGUGCUUCACCAUGUCACAGGGAAGCAUGAAUGGACCCGUGGCAAAUGUGACCAUGGACCACUUGAUGCAACGUGGCAUGGUUCCAGGAUCUCCACCACACGAGGCUCUUCAACGAAUCAUGUUCAACAGACGCUGGUUGAAGGAUGUCACCAAUCUGACCUUUAGGCCCCAGCUACGUGAAGCAUCAAAAGACAGGAAUGACUUCUUUCAUGCACACAGAUUUAUUAGAAAUUAAGAAAAAAUACUAUGUACAAAUGCAAAUAACAGAACUUUUUUGUACAUAAAUAAAAAUAAAUAUAUUGCACAAACUGUUUAUUUUUGGGUGAAAAUGCUGUCUUCAGCUAAAGUUAUUUUGAGGUAUUGUGCUGUUUUGGAACUACUGUAGUUGUAGAUAAACGGUUUGGAGUUUUGGGUUAGGGUGCCCUCAGUCAGGAAGACGGUGUCCUGGCGUCUCUUGCCGAAACUCCAGGAUAUCCAGCAUCACCCCUGGAAGACGGGUCACCACUCUCUCGAGAAUAUAAUCUCUCUCCUCCUGGCUCAGGUGUUGUAAAGCUGUCUAGAAAUUAAAGAGCAUAUGUUUACAUGACUAGAUUCAUAUCUCCAGUGAGUGAUGUUUUCGUUUUUGGCAUCUAUUAUUUUAUUUUAAUUUUUUUACACAAAUGGCUACAACCAACCUGCAUCUCAGCUAUACUGGCAGCUCUCAGCUGUGCAAGCCGGUCUCGGCCCUCUUCUCUUAAAGCUGUUCGCUGCCUACCCCGGCGCCCUGGUCCUCUUGAAGGAGCUCUGGACCUCAACCUGCUGCCCUCACCCCUUGAGCGUGUCCUUCCCCGACCCUCGG